GAUGAACGCUGGCGGCGUGCCUAACACAUGCAAGUCGAACGGAGAUAUUGCUUGGAAGCUUUUCGAGGUGAAAGAGAAGUAUCUUAGUGGCGGACGGGUGAGUAACGCGUGGGCAACCUGCCUCAUACAGGGGGAUAGCAUCGGGAAACUGGUGGUAAAACCGCAUAAGCGCACGAAGACGCAUGUAUUCGUGUGAAAAGGAGAAAUCUGGUAUGAGAUGGACCCGCGUCUGAUUAGCUAGUUGGAGUGGUAAAAGCACACCAAGGCGACGAUCAGUAGCCGGCCUGAGAGGGUGGACGGCCACAUUGGGACUGAGACACGGCCCAG
rnacentral:rRNA from 1 species